UACGUAGGGUGCAAGCGUUGUCCGGAAUUAUUGGGCGUAAAGAGCUCGUAGGCGGUUUGUCGCGUCUGCUGUGAAAACUCGGGGCUUAACCCCGGGCCUGCAGUGGGUACGGGGCAGACUAGAGUGCGGUAGGGGAGACUGGAAUUCCUGGUGUAGCGGUGAAAUGCGCAGAUAUCAGGAGGAACACCGGUGGCGAAGGCGGGUCUCUGGGCCGAUACUGACGCUGAGGAGCGAAAGCGUGGGGAGCGAACAGG
rnacentral:rRNA from 1 species